AUGGGACUGCAUGAGCUAUGGGAAGUAUGGGAGAUCAAGUUUCUGCUGCUUAUAAGCUUACUGUUGCAAGUGCUACUGCUUAUCUUCACCGAGUGUCGUCGGUUUGUAAAAUGGCCCCUUCUGUCAACGGCGUUGAAUGGCGCCCUCUGGCUUCUGUACCAAAUGGCUGACUCCAUCGCUUUAUACGUGCUCGGCCACAUGUCCCUGAAAACCAAGGCACGCGAGCAGCAGCAGCUCAUGGCGUUCUGGGCAUCGCUGCUGUUGGUUCACCUCGGUGGACAGGACAGCAUCACUGCCUACGCUUUGGCGGACAACGAGUUAUGGCUGCGCCACCUAUUUACUCUCGUGGUGCAGGCAGCAGGAGCUACAUAUGUUUUGUACAAGUACUUUGCCGGCGGUAGUAGGGCCUUGCUCGCUGCAGCUGUGUUGAUGUUCCUUGUGGGUGUUGGCAAGUACCUGGAGAGGAUAUUUGCUCUCUACUUCUCUGGCCUUGAAAACAUCAGCAAGUUCCUCGACCGCUUGGAGGUACCGAAGAAAGCCAGGAACUCGGAGUACCGAAUCCCAGCUUGUUUGGAUAAUGAGGAAAGUAUCCUGCAGGGAGCUCAUGACCUCCUCCAUCUCUGCAUGGGCCAGUUUGCUGAUUUCAAGGUGUGCCCGUCCCCGUUCCAAAUCGGGGCCAUAAUGGUCUAUUGUGAUGAUACUUAUCCCGAUACUACUCCCGUGGGGAGCAAGUUGCUGCAAUUAGUCGGGAUGCAACUCUCCUUGAUGCGGGACAUCCUCUACACUAAGGCGGCGGUGAUCCACACAUGGCACGGACGAGUGUCCCGCAUUGUCUCGACGGUGUUUACCGUCGUGGCGUUCUACCUGUUCCAUCAGUCUACCAAGGUGGGCUCCGGUUACAGCAAGGGUGACAUGGUGGUCACCUACAUCUUGUUGGCUGGGGCAUUUUCCCUGGAGGUGGCAUCCCUGUUGAGGGCAGCCUUCUCAACUUGGACAUGCACCUGGUUACGAGCUGCUGGUUGGAACCGGCUCCAUUGUGCUGUGGUGUAUGUUCGCCAGGGUAUCAGGGUUGCACAAACAUGCAGGAGGUGGCCAGGUACCAUCGGGCAGUACGAUCUGUCGCGAUUCUACAUGCACAGUCGCACUGGUGCAUGCUACAUGGUAGCACAUUUAUUCAGGCUGGAGCACUGGUUGAACAAGCUGCGUUUCUCCGGCUCUGUUGCCAUCUCUCUUCAAGAGGAGAUUACCUUGGUAAAUCAUAUAUGUUGGAUGGUUGUAUACUGUGGAGGAGAUGAGCAAAUGAUGUGGGGUUUCCGUGGCCAGUUUGCCCUCUCGCGCCAAGAUUGGAGCAGGGACAUCUAUGAUGCUCUCAAUACUGACAAGGCUGCUUUUCAUGGAAGCAUACUCACCUGGCACUACGCCACUGAUGCCCUCCUUUAAUUUUUUGAUUUGUGUACUAUGGACAGCGACAACUUGUCACGUCAUCCUAGGCGGGCAGAUCUAGACAUGGUACGCAAUAUGAGAGAGUCGGUAGGACGCAUAAGCAGCGAAGAUAUGAUAAGGACAGUGCAAUUAGCCAAGGCGAUCCGUACACUGUCGAGGUACAUGGUUUUCCUCCUCGUGGAGCGGCCUCACUUGCUUCCCAGCCCUGUUCGUCGCAUCCAGUACGAGAGUUUCCGUGCAGGGUUCCGGGAGUUUCGAGCCAUCAGGGAAGGAGAUGAAGUACCCAUAGCGAUCCUCCCAGCAGUAUGGCUUGCAACCAGGCUGAUCUUUGGACAUAUACGCGUCUAUCCACGUGUUCCUGUGGUGAUGGAAGUGGUCUUUCAUGUGUGGGUGGAGAUGCUGUGCUACGCGGCCAAUCACUGCAGGAACGACACCCAUGCCAGGCAGCUCGGGAGCGGCACUGAGCUCAUCACCAUCGUGUGGCUUCUGACGAGCACCUUGUACAAUGGAGUUAACCACAAGAAAAUAUCUUACAAAACAAAAGCGCGAUACUUCAUGGAAAGGCACGACAGGCAGACAGGAGCGCAAGACAAAGAACUCUUCGACAUGGAGAAGACUCUAUAUUGGGUGAUGAAAGACAGGGAAGAACAGGUACAAGAAGAGGAGGAGAAUCUGCCAACAUCGCCUUAA
rnacentral:rRNA from 1 species